rfam:Asian citrus Psyllid, Diaphorina citri - Florida Strain, whole genome shotgun sequence.
AUUAAUAUUAGUAAUGGAAUGGUUUGAUUUGUUUUAUAAUCCUAAAAAAGGUAUAUUAGGUUUAAUAUUAAAAGAAUAAAUAAUCAAGCAAAUCUAAUUAUUUUUUUUAAUUAAUUAAAUAAAAUUAUUAAAAUUAUAUCAACAAGAAAAAUUUCUAACAUAAUAAUAUUAAUGUACGUACCGUAAACCGACACAGGUAAUUAAGUAGAGAAUACUAAAGCGUUUGAGAUAAUCUAAAUGAAGGAACUAGGCAAAAUAGUAUCGUAACUUUUGGAGAAGAUACACUAGAUUAUUUAUAAAAUUUUUUAUAGAGAACUAGUCUAAGAGGUAAGGUGGCUGCAACUGUUUAUUAAAAACACAGCACUCUGCUAACGUGUAAACGGAUGUAUAGGGUGUGACGCCUGCCCGGUGCUGGUAGGUUAAUUGAAAAUGUUAAUUUAAAAAUAAAGCAUUUAAUAAAAGCCCCAGUAAACGGCGGCCGUAACUAUAACGGUCCAAAGGUAGCGAAAUUCCUUGUCGGGUAAGUUAUCUAAAAAUAUAAUGGCGUAAUGAUGGCCACGCUGUCUCCAUUUAGAACUCAGUGAAAUUGAAAUUGCUGUGAAGAUGCAGUGUAUCUACGGCUAGACGGAAAGACCCCGUGAACCUUUACUAUAACCUCACAUUGAAUAUUGGUGAUUUUUGUGUAGGAUAGCUGGGAGAUGUUGAUAUUUAAACGCCAGUUUAAAAGUAAUCGUUCUUGAAAUACCAGUCUAAAAUUAUUGAUAUUCUAAUUUAUUUUGUAAUCCAUUAUAUUAAAAGUGUGUGGCGGGUAGUUUGACUGGGGCGGUCUCCUCCUAAAAAGUAACGGAGGAGUACAAAGGUACCCUCAAUACGUUUGGAAAUCGUAUGUUGAGCAUAAGAGCAUAUGGGUGCUUAACUGUAAGAUAGACAUAUCAAACAGAUACGAAAGUAGGUUCUAGUGAUCCGAUAAUUCUGUAUGGAAAGGUUAUCGCUCAACGGAUAAAAGGUACUCCGGGGAUAACAGGCUAAUAUUGCCCAAGAGUUCAUAUCGACGGCAAUGUUUGGCACCUCGAUGUCGGCUCAUCACAUCCUGGAGCUGGAGUUGGUUCCAAGGGUAUGGCUGUUCGCCAUUUAAAGUGGUACGCGAGCUGGGUUUAGAACGUCGUGAGACAGUUCGGUCCCUAUCUACCGUAGAUGUAGAGAUUUUGAAAGAAUCUGUCUUUAGUACGAGAGGACCAAGACGGUUAAACCAAUGGUGGUCCGGUUGUCAUGCCAAUGGCAUAGCCGGUUAACUAAGUUUAAAAUGAUAACUACUGAAAGCAUAUAAGUAGGAAGCAUAUCUUAAAAUAAAUCUCCUUUGAGUUUGUUGCUCUUCUUAAGAUAACUUAAAAAACAUAAGUUUAAUAGAUAUGAUGUGUAA